ensembl:lncRNA
UUCUCCUCAUUGUGGGUCAGCGUUUCCUGCUUCUUCGCAUGCCUGUGAAGAGAUGAGAGAGAUUUCAGACUGUAAUUAACAGAUACUUCUCUACAAAUAUAUUUGGGAAUGGGAUUUUGGUGUGGCUGAUUAGUACUCUGGUAUGUGGGAUAUUAGUUUCCCAACUGGAGACAGAACCUGCAUCCCGUCCCACCCCCCAACUUGGAAGGGAAAGUCUUAACCACUGGACCCCUAGGUAAGUCCCUGAAUGACCUUUUAUUAGACCAAAUUCUGCUUGCAAUCUACAUCUUAAAAGCACAUGGAAUGUACCAGGCCACCUAUUACAAUGUGCUGGUAAGCACUCUGGCUUGGUUGUUAGGAGGCCUGAAUUUGAGCCUUAGUUGUGCGGCCUCUGGCAAGUCAACUUCAUCUCUGAACUUUAUCUCUGCACCAUGGGACCGGGGGUCCCGACUUCUAUGGACCUCUAGAUGAGAAGGAAAUUCUCAGCUAUUUAAAUGAUCUCUUACUUCUCAUAAGUAGAGACUCAGAAAUGUGUCUGACUCCUACUAAAGUAGAAACAGCUGCAGAGCAGGAAAGAGAAGAGCGAUUGAAAAGGAUAUAAUUGAAAAUAAGCAAGAGAGAGCACUGGAGGGUGACUCUCAGGAGAUAUGAACUCUAGUCCCAGCUAUGCCAGUGGCUGAGGGUGUGAUCUUGAGUUAGUCAUUUUCUUUCUCUAGGGCCUGGCUUCUUCCUCUGUGAAAUAAGGUGACAGGUCUCAGGCCCCUCCCAGUUACAAAUUCUAUUAAUAUAUGAUUCUAGAUUAUAGAAUGAGGAGUGUCUGUUGUAGCCUCACUUGAUUCUUACAGGACCUCCUUGUUAUUCAGGGGCCUCAGCACAAUGUUGACUUUUUAAUCUUUUAAUUCAUUCUCAUGUCAUCCAUGAAGUAAAUCAGAAGAGAAAAUCCAGAUGAACAUUCCCAUUUAAGCCAG